rnacentral:ncRNA from 2 species
CGCUUGCAUCCAGAGUCGGGUUCCCCGACGCCAACCUGCCUACCCGGGCAAGGUGGACGCCAUCAGGCGAUGCGGCCGAUAGUCGGCAACGAAGCGGGAGCGG